CGCCGCCAGACAGUUUUUUUAUCUGAGCGUCUUUAAUUCAAUUUUUGGACACAUAUUUUUCAUUUAUUUUUAAUGGAUUCUAGUAAAAUAAUUAAUGGUAAAAUUUUUAAUAUUUGCCUUGGCUAUUCUGUUCGUAAUUUAGACAUAAUGUCUAACUUACUUAACGAAGUGCACCAACUAGAAGGUGCCCCAAGAAUACCUAAGUUUUGUCACAGAGCCCCGCGGAAGUGCGUUUAACCAGGAAGUUCACGCCUCCUUGCUUACCGUGAAGCGAAAAUAUGCCCAGAACUCGUUUCGAAUCUGGAUCUCCUGCUUAUUAAGCAAGUGCUGUAACCACGGCGUCACGGCCGCCAUUUAUGUACUUUCAAUUACAUAUUUCGAUUUCUUAAUUGCAUCUUGUAUUUCUCAACACAUAUUAAAAUUUUUUAAUUAAA